rnacentral:rRNA from 1 species
AUUGAACGCUGGCGGCAGGCCUAACACAUGCAAGUCGAACGAGAGGCGGACGGGUGAGCAAUGUCUGGGCAACUGCGCGAUGGAGGGGGAUAAGUACUGGAAACGGUAGCUAAUACCGCAUACCAUCGGAUGUGCCCAGAUGGGAUUAGCUAGUAGGUGGGGUAACGGCUCACCUAGGCGACGAUCCCUAGCUGGUCUGAGAGGAUGACCAGCCACACUGGAACUGAGACACGGUCCAGACUCCUACGGGAGGCAGCAGUGGGGAAUAUUGGACAAUGGUCGAAAGCCUGAUGCAGCCAUGCCGCGUGUGUGAAGAAGGCCUUCGGGUUGUAAAGUACUUUCAGCGGGGAGGCGUUACCCGAAGAAGAAGCACCGGCUAACUCCGUGCCAGCAGCCGCGGUAAUAC